GAUGAACGCUGGCGGCGUGCCUAAUACAUGCAAGUCGAGCGAACAGACGAGGAGCUUGCUCCUCUGACGUUAGCGGCGGACGGGUGAGUAACACGUGGAUAACCUACCUAUAAGACUGGGAUAACUUCGGGAAACCGGAGCUAAUACCGGAUAAUAUAUUGAACCGCAUGGUUCAAUAGUGAAAGACGGUUUUGCUGUCACUUAUAGAUGGAUCCGCGCCGCAUUAGCUAGUUGGUAAGGUAACGGCUUACCAAGGCGACGAUGCGUAGCCGACCUGAGAGGGUGAUCGGCCACACUGGAACUGAGCCACGGUCCAGACUCCUACGGGAGGCAGCAGUAGGGAAUCUUCCGCAAUGGGCGAAAGCCUGACGGAGCAACGCCGCGUGAGUGAUGAAGGUCUUCGGAUCGUAAAACUCUGUUAUUAGGGAAGAACAAAUGUGUAAGUAACUAUGCACGUCUUGACGGUACCUAAUCAGAGAGCCACGGCUAACUACGUG
rnacentral:rRNA from 1 species